GGAGCCGGAAGUGGGGGUGGCCGGGAUAGAAGCCGCAACCCAGGCGGCUGUGUCUGCCGCCGCUGCCGCCGCCCGUGUGUAGCGCAUCACCCGGAGCCCACCGGCCGUGGGUGCCUCCUCCGGCCCCAGGGGCCCCCGGGAGCCCUGAAGGGCGAAGCGGCGGGGGCGCCUCUCUUGGGCGAAGAGGCGGCCUCGCCGCCCCGGAUGCGGCCGGAGGGCGCGGGAAUGGAGCUCGGAGGCGGCGAGGAGCGCCUGGCUGAGGAGAGCAGGAGGGAACACUGGCAGUUGCUGGGUCAUUUGAAGACUACGGUGGAGGGUUUGGUAUCAGCCAACAGCCCCAACGUCUGGUCUAAGUAUGGCGGCUUGGAGCGGCUCUGCAGGGACAUGCAGAGCAUUCUCCAUCACGGGCUUAUCCGUGACCAGGCGUGCCGCCGCCAGACUGAUUACUGGCAGUUUGUGAAAGACAUACGGUGGCUCAGUCCCCACUCAGCCCUUCACGUGGAGAAGUUCAUCAGCUUGCACGAGAACGGCCAGAGCAGUGCUGAUGGUGUGAGUGAACGUGCUGUUGCCGAGUUGUGGCUGCAGCACAGCCUGCAAUACCACUGCCUCUCAGCCCAGCUCCGGCCUCUGCUCGGGGAUAGACAGUAUAUCAGAAAAUUCUACACAGCUUUUCUCUCCCCAGAUGCUGCUUUCCUGCUAAGUGAUGCUCACGUCACGGCCAUGCUCCAGUGCCUGGAAGCAGUGGAACAGAACGACCCCCGCCUUCUGGCUCAGAUAGAUGCAUCCAUGUUUGCCAGAAAGCACGAGAGCCCACUCCUGGUGACAAAGAGCCAGAGCCUGACAGCUCUGCCCAGUUCCACAUACACCCCUCCAGCCAGCUAUGCUCAGCAUUCCUACUUUGGGUCCUUCUCUAGCCUCCACCAAUCCAUGCCCAACAAUGGCUCAGAGAGAAGAUCUACUUCCUUUUCACUCUCUGGCCCUCCCCGGAAACCUCAAGAAAGCAGAGGGCACGUCUCACCAGCAGAGGAUCAAACCAUCCAAGCCCUCCCGGUUUCAGCCUCUGCACUAGCCAGGGAUUCCCCCUUAACCCCAAAUGAGAUGAGCUCCAGUACUCUGACCAGCCCUAUAGAGGCAUCCUGGGUCAGCAGCCAGAAUGAUUCCCCAAGUGAUGCCAGUGAGGGGCCUGAGUACCUGGCCAUUGGCAACUUGGACCCCCGAGGCCGGACUGCCAGCUGUCAGAGUCACAGCAGCAAUGCCGAGAGCAGCAGCUCCAAUUUGUUCUCCUCCAGCAGCUCCCAGAAGCCAGAUUCUGCUGCCUCUUCCUUAGGGGACCAGGAGGGAGGUGAGGAGAGCCAGCUGUCCAGUGUCCUCCGCAGGUCCAGCUUCUCAGAGGGGCAGACACUCACCGUCACCAGUGGGGCAAAGAAGAGCCAUAUUCGCUCCCAUUCGGAUACCAGCAUCGCCUCCAGAGGAGCUCCAGGAGGUCCCAGGAAUAUCACCAUUAUAGUUGAAGAUCCCAUUGCAGAAUCCUGCAAUGAUAAGGCGAAGUUGAGAGGCCCCUUGCCCUACUCUGGUCAAAGCAGUGAAGUCAGCACACCCAGUUCUCUGUACAUGGAGUAUGAAGGUGGUCGGUACCUGUGCUCAGGGGAAGGCAUGUUCCGAAGACCAUCAGAAGGACAGUCCCUCAUCAGCUACCUCUCUGAGCAAGACUUCGGCAGCUGUGCCGACCUGGAAAAGGAGAAUGCCCACUUCAGCAUCUCAGAGUCCUUAAUCGCGGCCAUCGAGCUAAUGAAGUGCAACAUGAUGAGCCGGUGCCUGGAGGAGGGGGAGGAAGAGGAAGACAGUGACAGAGAGAUCCAGGAGCUGAAGCAGAAGAUCCGCCUUCGGCGCCAGCAAAUCCGCACCAAGAACCUGCUCCCUGUGUACCAGGAGGCUGAGCAUGGAAGCUUUCGGGUCACCUCCAGCAGCUCCCAGUUCAGCUCACGCGAUUCAGCACAUCUCUCUGACUCUGGCUCUGCUGAUGAGGUUGAUGAAUUUGAAAUCCAAGAUGGUAGUGAAGGAUCUAACCUGACUCACAUAUCAAAGAACGGACUGUCAGUGUCACUGGCCUCGAUGUUCUCAGAUGCUGACAUCAGAAGGAACACAGCCUCAAGCAGCAGAUCCUUCGUUUCCUCCCAGUCCUUCUCCCACGGCUUCCUGCACUCCACAUCUGCUGAGGCGGUGGCCAUGGGGCUCCUGAAGCAGUUUGAGGGGAUGCAACUUCCAGCUGCCUCAGAGCUGGAGUGGCUCGUCCCGGAGCACGACGCACCUCAGAAGCUUCUACCCAUCCCUGACUCACUGCCCAUCUCACCGGAUGACGGGCAGCAUGCUGACAUCUACAAGCUGCGGAUUCGUGUUCGUGGCAACUUGGAGUGGGCGCCCCCCCGGCCUCAGAUAAUUUUUAAUGUUCAUCCCGCCCCAACGAGGAAAAUUGCCGUGGCCAAGCAGAAUUACCGCUGUGCAGGGUGUGGCAUCCGGACUGACCCUGAUUAUAUCAAGCGACUGCGGUACUGUGAGUACCUGGGCAAGUACUUCUGCCAGUGCUGCCACGAGAACGCACAGAUGGUCAUCCCCAGCCGGCUUCUGCGCAAGUGGGACUUCAGCAAGUACUACGUCAGCAAUUUCUCCAAGGACCUGCUCAUUAAGAUCUGGAAUGAUCCUCUCUUCAACGUGCAGGACAUAAACAGUGCCCUCUAUAGGAAGGUCAAGCUACUCAAUCAAGUCCGGCUGCUGCGGGUCCAGCUGUGUCACAUGAAGAACAUGUUCAAGACUUGUCGACUGGCCAAGGAGCUUCUGGAUUCCUUUGACACAGUCCCGGGCCACCUGACGGAGGACCUCCACCUGUACUCACUGAAUGAUCUGACAGCGACCAGGAAGGGGGAGCUGGGGCCCCGGCUUGCUGAGCUCACCAGGGCAGGGGCUGCCCAUGUGGAGAGAUGCAUGCUCUGCCAAGCCAAGGGCUUCAUCUGUGAGUUCUGUCAGAAUGAGGAUGACAUCAUCUUUCCCUUUGAGCUCCAUAAGUGCCGGACCUGUGAAGAGUGUAAAGCGUGUUACCAUAAAGCCUGCUUCAAGUCUGGAAGCUGUCCGCGCUGUGAGCGGCUGCAGGCCCGGCGGGAGGCGCUGGCCAGGCAGAGCCUGGAGUCUUACCUGUCGGACUACGAGGAGGAGCCCGCCGAAGCGUUGGCCCUGGAAGCCGCCGUCCUGGAGGCCACCUGAAGAAAGCACGUGAAGCCCCUGUCUGGGCCGGGGUCACACAUAUUGCAGAACUGAGCCACUCUUUGAAGGACUUGCCCCACCUGGGGCUGCUUCUUUUUUUUAAUUAUCAUUUUUUUUUACUGACUUGUCUGACGUCCAUGUGCAGUCAGCCUUUGGUAGGUUGAUGGGUCCAGAGUCUGUGGUGACAGGUAAUUUGUAAGCUCCAGGUGUUUUCAUCAGAACUGACAUGUGGGUCCUUCAGUGAAGCUUCUAGUGCCUCUGUCAGGGGAAGAGACAGCAAGACCCAGUUCUUCCAGCGUCUGUGGCCUUCUCCUCUAGAACCAGACCUGGUUUCUUCUCCUCUAGAACCAGACCUGGUUUCUUCUCCUCUAGAACCAGACCUGGUUUCACCUGCAUGUCAAGUAUCUUUUCCAAUUUUCCUUUGUUUUUGUUCUGGAGCUUCUGAGCCAGGCCUUUCUCAGCCACCUCUCCUCCUGCUGCUGAAACGGUGGCGUUCUCUCUCUCCCUGUCCUGGACUGGGGUCAGACCGUGCCCCGAGGAGAAGCAGCAGAGAAUGAGACUACGUCGUGGGCAUUUUGUCCGCUUAUUUGGGUAUUUUGGGGGCCACACAACAAUCAUGACUAUCCUGGACUCCUCAGAGACCUCAGAGAGGCAGCCGUGAAUGUCCCUGUGUUGCUGGGAUUUCCCGUUUGGAACAUUUGAAGUAUAGAUGAUGCCAGAAGCUGACUUUCUUCAUCUGCCCUGGUGAGCUUGAAGCAAAGAACAGAACUGAUGCUUAGGCCAGGCUCGUCUGCAGCCUUAUGCCACAAGCAUACGUGAGGCGGCAGCUCUUGCUGAAGGAGCACUUACUCACAGGGGCUGUCGGCCCCUCUUAGGUGUUAAGGUCUCUUUUAGUUAACCUGGCUUUUUGGUGCAGGUAUGAUCUUUGAAGCUCAGGCAAGUCCCUGAUGCCAUCCUAAGGUGAGGACAGGAACCCCACCCACCCUCUUCUUAGUGUGUCCCUGACCACUCUGUCAUCUGUUCGAUGGUCAUUGUGGUUCUCAGUGAAAGUACAACCCAACUCCCUUCUCUCUCCCCUUGUGCAGCAGAGCUCGUCCUUCCCUGGUGGCCGAGUCUCUCUUGCCUUAGCUUCUGUGGUCAAAGUUGGAGAAAAGCUUCCUGCUAUUAGUGCUGUUACAGAACUUGACAGUUUGUGGAUUUGCCUGCUGGUAGGAGAACAAUGGGCGUGGGCGCCGUCCCUGGAAGCUGAACAGAAGGGGGCCUGUGGUUGGUGGAAGCUGAUGAGAGCCUGAGCUGGCGGUAAGAAGGAAUCUCCCAGGGAGGUGGGAGAGGCCUUAAGGUGAUGGCCAGGGCUGAGGCUCCACCAGCACGAGAGGGAACGUGUGGGAACCGGCCCCUGCUCUUGGUUCCUCUGCCUCAAAGUUGGGAUCUGAAAGCCAUGCUGGGCUACAAGACCCUGGAGCUGUUCUCCCUUCUGUUCACAGUGAGGCUCUAAGGCCAAGGCCAGCAGUUCUGAAGGGCUGACUGGAAGGCCUGGGCCCUUCAGGGAGCUUCACGGAACUCAGGUUUCACUAGGGGUUCGGUCCCAGGUCCACACCCAGGGGUUUAUAAAAAUGGUGAGCUCUCCUUCCAGGUUUGGUUUAAAUUACACAUCCAGGCCAGGCAUGGUGGCUCACGCCUGUAAUCCCAGCACUUUGGGAGGCCAAGGCGGGCAGAUCUUGAGGUCAGAAGUUUGAGACCAGCCUGGCCAAUGUGGUGAAACCCCAUCUCUUCCAAAAAUACAAAAAUUCACCAGGCAUGGUGACGGGCACCUGUAAUCCCAGCUACUUGGGAGGCUGAGGCAGGAGAAUCGCUUGAACCCAGGAGGUGGAGGUUGCAGUGAGCCGAGAUCGCACCACUGCACUCCAGCCUGGGUGACAGAGCGAGACUCCAUCUCAAAACGAAAACAAAAAAGUGACACAUCCAGCUCCCUCUCCAGGUCAUUGGAGAUGUGCUCUCUUGUCCCGCCUGUUUCUCAUCAGCACAGGAUCAAAGGAUGAAAAUGCUGACAGCUUCUGAAGCCGAACUCAACAGUCUCACAGGCUCCUGACUUGUCACUUACUUUUCUCCAUCUCCCUCAACUGCACCCCAUCCCUUCCCUUUAGAUCGUGCGUGUUUUAGUGACUCCGACACGCUGCUGCCAUCACCGUCCAAAUACCCAUUUAUUUAUUUAUUCGAGAGGGGGAAAGCGGGUAGAGGAUGGGAUGUUUUGGAAGCACUUUGCAACUUGUCAGUAUCUGAAAAUCCCCUGCUGUUGCGGGGAGAAGCUUUGAAUGCACUGAAGAGAAUUCCUUCUAAAUGAAGGUGAGGGUAGUGUUCUUUCUCUAAGUAAAGGGAAAGAAAAAAACAUAGGUUGCUUACCAGGUGGAGACAAGAUUCAAGACAUAGCAGAAAAGUGGAAGACAAAUAUCUUCCACUUAAAUGAGGCUGUUUUGACGUUCUCUGCCAAGGAUUUAGAGCUCUUGUUGAAUUACCAUAGAAGAAGCGCGAGUCUCAGUAGAGAUGUUCUGUGUGUGCAGCCUGUGCUCUGAACUGGCUUUCCACCUGCCGUGGUUCUUGCACAGUCUGGCAGUUCAUUGUCAUCUUUAAUAAACUAAGGAAAUGAAAUUCUGUCUUUGGU